GACGAACGCUGGCGGCGUGCUUAACACAUGCAAGUCGAGCGGAAAGGCCCUUCUGGGUACUCGAGUGGCCAACGGGUGAGUAACACGUGAGUAACCUGCUCCAGACUUUGGGAUAAUCCCCUGAAACGGGGGCUAAUACUGGAUACGACACAGCUUCGCAUGGGGUCUGUGUGGAAAGUUUUUCGGUAUGGGAUGGGCUCGUGGCCUAUCAGCUUGUUUGUGGGGUGAUGGCCUACGAAGGCGACGACGGGUAGCCGGCCUGUGAGGGGGAACGGCCACACUGGGACUGAGAGACGGAGCAGACUCGUACGGGAGGCAGCGGUGGGGAGUAUUGCACAAUGGGCGGGAGCGUGAGGCAGCGACGCCGCGUGAGGGAUGAAGGCCUUCGGGUGGUAAACCUCUUUAAGCAGGGACGAAGCGUAAGUGACGGUACCUGCAGAAGAAGCGCCGGCCAACUACGUG
rnacentral:rRNA from 1 species